rnacentral:rRNA from 1 species
UUUAUUGAGAGUUUGAUCCUGGCUCAGAACGAACGCUGGCGGCGUGCCUAACACAUGCAA